CGGGCCUUUAUACCAGUUUUUAGCGCAUUUUGAGCUUUGCCGGAGGGCAACGUCGGUAAGGUGAUGGCAGCCGUAGCUCAUCGGCAGCUGAUGAUCCUAAAGCAACUAUCAAAACAGUCGGCCUAACUUGCAGAGGUCACCAGGGGGAUGGCAACAGGUUGCGCGGCAGUGUGCUGCUACUGCCCGUGCAAGCCAGUGAACUGGUGCCAAUGAACUACAAAUCUUGAUCCUCACCUCUGUCUUUCUCUGUCGAAGGAGGAGGGCGAGGAAGCUGAGGAUGGCGUCAAUGGAGAUGACGACAUUUCCCUCUUGGAGGAUAUUGAACAUGAAAUUGGUGGUCGGUGGUGAUCUGACGGCCAUCGGGGCUUGCCGGCAAAGACAAGCAGCAUGAGAAUCAUGAUCCAAAUGACCAACAUGGUUGGCGCCGCCACCGCCAGCGUCGUCCCCAUGGAUAGCAAGCCAAAGACCCCGCCAUAGAGUGGAGAUGUAGAGGGUGGGCCAACCGACGGACGCAGCAGUAGAGUUGUACUAGGAGCAGAUGGAGAGAAGGAGGUUCCAGGAUGAGGAAGAGGAAGACCCAUAUCAACUGCUUACUCAGUGCCCACAGCAGCAGCGACUCCUCCCAUCGCGAUGACGGUGAGUGCUCUAGAUCCGCCAUCAAAUUCCUUCAUUGUUGGUUCUUUUUUUUUUUCUUUUUUUGGUGCUCAUGGUGGUUCGGUUGCCAAUGGUGCUCUACCAGUUGGCGCUGAAGGUCAGGAUGAAGCAACGGGCCGUGAUCAAGAAGCUGAAGGAUGGGCGGCGGUAAGGCCUAGGCGGGGGAUGAGGAGG
rnacentral:lncRNA from 1 species